AUGAGUCAUUUUGAGGGCAUCAACAUCCCCAGUGGCAAGUUCUACCUAGGAGAUGGUGGCUAUGCAUGUCGGCCAGGUGUUCUUCCACCCUUCAGGAAAACCAAGUACCAUCUGAACGAGUUCGUUGGUAGUAACUAUCCUAGGACUCCACAGGAGUUUCUCACACACUCCAUCCUUAGAGUUACUGUUGAGAGGGCCUUUGGAGCUCUGAAGAACAUGUUUAAGAUCCUAGAUCACAAGCCAUUCAACACUUUCCCCACUUAGGUUAAGCUUAUUCUUACUUGUUGCAUUCUGCAUAACUGGAUCAUGCAAUGGGGUUGUGAUGAACUGGUGCCUGAGGAGGAAGAUGUGACGCCUGACGAUAUUGUGAGCUCCGGCCAUGGUGUGGAGGCAUUUGACAACGAAGCCUAGAAAAACAAAAGGACGAAGCCGGGACAGGCAAUGUGGGAUAACAGAGGCCAGAUAAGGAUCUGUAGAAGAAGAAGAGCAAGAGCAGCAGCAGAAGAAAAGGAAGAAACAGAGCAACAGAAGAGGAAGAAACAGAGCAUCAGAAGAAGAGGAAGAGGAUGGACUUCCAUCUAG
rnacentral:rRNA from 1 species